AACGAAAAGGCGGACGCACCCUGAUCAUCUGUCCUGUGACGGGCUCAGCCAUUGGAUCGCGAAUCUGCGUUCGCGCAUGCGUGGUCCUAGAGCUACGGUGACACUUCGCGUGCGGUGUAGGCGCAUCUUCGCUCUGUUGGCCGUGGCUUUAGUAAGCACACACCUGCCUGCUACUCUGGUUAUCGUGGCGACGGCAGGUCUGGAUUGCCAGACAGGUUUUUCUUUUUACCUCGAGGCUUUCUCUGAAGGGAGUCGGAGCAUUUAAAAGGCGGCCUCAAGGUGGAUUGAGUCGGGGGAGGAUUAGCAGUAUUUGCUUAGGUUGUAAAACCGCGACUUUAUCUAAUAAAUCGCCAUUCAAGGUGCAAAUACAAACUUGGAACAGAGAUGUAAAUGAAUUCCUCAAGGUCAGAGACUGUUUUUAUUCAUUUCUACAUCUCCAACACCUGGCAAAGUGCCUCGGCCAUAAAAGAUAAUCUGCCUCUGAAACCUUCCGUGGGCACAGAAAUUUCUGCAAGGAAAGCAUCAGCAACCAGAAUAAUUUGAUUGCAUUUGGGUUUAAACAGAGGACUUAAUCAUAGCAUGGACAGAAAAGGCUCACCAUCUAUCUAAAUGACUCUGAUUGCACCAUCAUCCUCAUUGUUCUUGUGGAGUCUCGCUCUGUCGCCCAGGCUGGGGUGGAGUGACGCGAUCUCGGCUCACCGCAAGCUCCGCCUCCCGGGUUCACGCCAUUCUCCUGUCUCAGCCUCCCCAGUAGCUGGGACUACAGGCGUCCACCACCACGCCCGGCUAAUUUUUUGUACUUUUAGUAGAGACGGGUUUCACCGUGUCAGCCAGGAUGGUCUCGAUCUCCUGACCUCGUGAUCUGCCCGCCUCAGCCUCCC
rnacentral:lncRNA from 10 species